UACGGGGGGAGCAAGCGUUGUUCGGAUUUACUGGGCGUAAAGGGCGGGUAGGCGGCCACCGCAAGUCAGUUGUGAAAUCUCCGGGCUUAACCCGGAAAGGUCAACUGAUACUGCGGGGCUAGAGUGCAGAAGGGGCAACUGGAAUUCUCGGUGUAGCGGUGAAAUGCGUAGAUAUCUGGAGGAACACCGGUGGCGAAGGCGGCAUCCUGGACCGGCAUUGACGCUGAGGCGCGAAAGCCAGGGGAGCAAACGGG
rnacentral:rRNA from 1 species